CGAGCACGCGCGUGUGGCAUAUCAAUAAGCGGAGGAAAAGAAACUAACAAGGAUUCCCUUAGUAACGGCGAGUGAAGCGGGAAGAGCUCAAAUUUGAAAUCUUCAAGGUUCUACCUUGACGAAUUGUAGUUUAAAGAAGUGUUUUCUGUUAGAUGAGUAGCAAAAGUUCCUUGGAAUGGGACAUCAUAGAGGGUGAGAAUCCCGUAUUUGGUCAUUCUUUCUAGCUUUGUGAUACACUUUCAAAGAGUCGGAUUGUUUGGGAAUGCAGUCCAAGAUGGGUGGUAAAUUUCAUCUAAAGCUAAAUAUUGGCGAGAGACCGAUAGCGAACAAGUACCGUGAGGGAAAGAUGAAAAGAACUUUGAAAAGAGAGUUAAACAGUACGUGAAAUUGUCAAAAGGGAAGCGUUUGACACCAGUGUUGUUUUUCCGAAAAUCAAUUACGAAUGUUUUGUUUUUGAGGAGUUAUGACUUCAUCGGCUUGCUCCUUUCUUUAUGAAACUUUCUUAAUGCACUUUUCGGUUAACAAGUCAACAUCAAUUUCUUUUGCUGUAAAAGGGUAUGAGGAAGGUGGCUUUCUUUUCGGAGAAAGUGUUUAUAGCCUUGUACCUCUGCAAUCGGAGAGAUUGAGGUCUGCAGCGUAGAUCCUUCGGGGUUAGAUACGUUUGUGCUAAGUUAUAGCUUUUCAUAGACAACUUGUUGACUAUGUUUAGUCUUGUAGCUUACUCGCUGACGCUAUUUUACCUACGCUUAGGAUGUUGAGUAGCGACAUACGCAC
rnacentral:rRNA from 1 species